rnacentral:lncRNA from 1 species
AGUUUUGCUCUUCUAAAAGGUAAAGUGUAUCAAGUGAUGUGUAAAUUCUCAUUUUCCAUGCCCUCAGGGAUAUAAUUUUAAAUUUUUAUGUUGGCAAGUAUGAUUGAUUGGUUGGUUGGGUUAUCUUGUCUCUUGGUAUUCUUGAGUGUCAAAGGAAGUUCUUUCUCUCUUCUGGUUUAGGGGUCGUUGAAGAAGUGAUCUUGGCAUAAAUUGAAAUUGUGUGAACUAGGUGAAUAUUACUUGAUGUCUGUUUUUAUUAGCUCGCAUUCAUGAAUGAAACACUUCUGCCAGAUAUUUUAGUUUG